CCCCCCCCCCCAGUGACACGCACACUCACUCACAUGCAUGCAUACAUACAUGUGAGCACACCUACUAACCAAUGCGAGCCUGCACACAUGCUUGCACACCGACACACAAACAACCGGCUGGUACACUGACCUCCCCUCCGUCUUUGAAAUUAAUGACAGUGCAGGUUCUGCGUGUGCACGCAGCAGCAGCAGUCGUGUUGUGUUUCUCUUUCUGAGACAUCAGAUUUAGAUGAGAUAAGGUGGAGGAGCGGUGGGCGGCCUCGCAUAUGUCUGUUUACUAUAUGAAUCCCACCGAGGGGCCUCGCCGCCACAUCGACCCGUUCCUGUCGAACGACACGCACCAGCUCAGCUCUGCAAGCGAACGCAGAUUUGAAGACUUUGACUGAAGCGUCGGCGGCAAAGGACACACAUGAAAACCGUCCACCCAAUAAUGAACAUGGCAAGGUCAAGUAUAUCGCAUAAGGUCAACCUACAGGAAACACACAAUCAGGUUUUGUUCAUUCGAUAAUGCAAAGUGAUGCUUGAUUCUCUGCAUGACGGACGAUGCCAGGGGGAUGAAUACGUGGACGCCGUGAGCGGCUGGCACUGGUUUCCACCAGGCAGCCUCAUGAGAUCCCUCGUGGGCAGGAUGGUAGGAGGGUGAGAGGUGUGGGAGGUGGCGUCGAGAUUCACACCGUGUCACACACUUGCUUUCGGAAAUGUCACGUAUUCAUUUUCUUUUUUCAUUUUUCUUUCCAGAUCUGCUGAACCCGAAGAGUGUGGAGUGUGUUCAGACGCCGCGGUGGCGAGACGCCGGUGUAAGGACGCAGGACCGGAGAUCCUGCGGGAAGUCGUCAACACCGCUUCGGAGAUAACGGAGGAGAAGAAAGACGUGCGCACUCUGGAGCUCCUAUUUCCUCCUCUUCUGGCUCCUGGCGUUAACCUCGACCUAAACGUAUCCGAGCAUUUCACACUUUUUCUUUUCAAUCAUUUUCUCUUUUUUUUUUAGAAGCAAAGCACGUGUGACGGUUGUCUGCAGAUGUAAGUGCUAUUUAACAAACAGAGCUUCCCCCCCCAACAUGUUAACAUUGUCAUGAAUGCAAUGACACACGGAGGUGGAGACGAGGGGGCGGCCUGGCACCGGUUGUGCGGCGGCGGCGGCGGCGGCACGGUAAUGAAUGGCUAAUGUGCUGCGGCAGAGGAGUCGCAGAGGAGUCGUUAAUCCUAAUUCCCUUUCGCGCAGAGCAGGGCACUGUGUCCUGAGCCUGUUAAUCUGAACCCUUUAAACCUUUAAUCUGGGAGGCUGUCGCGCGUGCACGCACACACGCACACACGCACACACGCACACACACACACACACGCACACACACACACACACACACACACACACACACACACACACACACACACACACACACACGCACACACGCACGCACACACGCACACGCACACAAACGCAGGCACUUGAAUUGCUAUUAUUGUGAGGACACUCAUUGACAUAAUGCUUUCCCUAACCCCUUAACCAUCUCGACUAAAUGCCCGAUACCCCAACCCUAAGAGGCAUCCAUGCAGGUAAUAUUUCGAAAGCGGGCCUUUGACCCAGGCCUCUGGAUUGAGACUUUUCCUGGAUCCAAUUCACCAACAUCUCGAGGACGGACGGCAACUUCCCUCCUUGAAUAAAAAAAAACAAAAAACACAUCAAAAUCUUACAUGCAUGUAUUUUGUUUAGACAUGUUUAGGUGGUUGGGCAUAUACGGGGGUCUCUGUGUGUACACAUGGGAGCAUGAGAGUGUGUGUAUGCACAUAUCAUAUAUAAUAUGUGUAUAUAUAGACUUGUUGGUGUACGUGCAGACGUAUAUGUGCAUUUUCGUUCUGCUCCCUGCCCGUAGAUUUCUCACACGCUCCCUUCCACAACCAGGUCCCUGGAUCAUUACCGCAUCAUUUUUCUAUUAUAACCAUGAAAACGUGCAAAAUGAAAUUCUUCUAUAAGAAAAUCGCAGGAAGAAAAACUCGGUGCACUCUCUGACACUAAAACCAGUAAGUCUCCAAAUAUCCUGACUUCACCCAAAAUGUCCUCGCUCCGCGGGGGCUCAAUAGUCAAACCGGCCCUCGCAAAGAUAGCAGAACAAGGACGCGCGCGCACACACACACACACACACACACACACACGAUAGCUACAGACACAUACAACCUGUCACCGCCUUGUAAAAGCACUGCACUGUACCUGCCACACCUCCCUCCCUCCCUCCCUCCCUCCCUCCCUCCCUCUCUCUCAGAGACACAUGUGACAUAUUGAGCGCCUGCAGCGAGAUUCUUCCCCAUGAGCGGCAUUCCAGAGCAGGCGGUCCCAGGGGAGCAGGGAAGUGGGGCCGGGCAGUGGCGGGUCUGCGGGCGGUGAAGAGGAGGAGGAGGAGGAAGAGGAGGAGGGGGGUGUGAGUGGCCGGACAGAGUGACCUGACCUGGAAUGCUGGGGCCGUAACCAGGCAACAUCCAUCCUGGAAACGACACUUUUUAAAACGAUCGCCGUCCAGGCAAG